UACGUAGGGUGCAAGCGUUAAUCGGAAUUACUGGGCGUAAAGCGUGCGCAGGCGGUGAUGUAAGACAGAUGUGAAAUCCCCGGGCUCAACCUGGGAACUGCAUUUGUGACUGCAUCGCUGGAGUGCGGCAGAGGGGGAUGGAAUUCCGCGUGUAGCAGUGAAAUGCGUAGAUAUGCGGAGGAACACCGAUGGCGAAGGCGACUCACUGGCCCGGUACUGACGCUGAGGUGCGAAAGCGUGGGGAGCAAACAGG
rnacentral:rRNA from 1 species